rnacentral:rRNA from 1 species
GACGAACCGUGCGAACGUUGUUCGGAAUCACUGGGCUUAAAGGGCGCGUAGGCGGCCCGUCCAGUCCGGGGUGAAAGCCCCCAGCUUAACUGGGGAAGGGCCUCGGAUACUGACGGGCUGGAGGGCGGUAGGGGUCGCGGGAACUUCCGGUGGAGCGGUGAAAUGCGUUGAUAUCGGAAGGAACGCCGGUGGCGAAAGCGCGCGACUGGACCGCUUCUGACGCUGAGGCGCGAAAGCCAGGGGAGCGAACGGG